rnacentral:rRNA from 1 species
AGUGAACGCUGGCGGUAGGCCUAACACAUGCAAGUCGAACGGCAGCACAGUAAGAGCUUGCUCUUACGGGUGGCGAGUGGCGGACGGGUGAGGAAUACAUCGGAAUCUACUUUUUCGUGGGGGAUAACGUAGGGAAACUUACGCUAAUACCGCAUACGACCUACGGGUGAAAGCAGGGGAUCUUCGGACCUUGCGCGAUUGAAUGAGCCGAUGUCGGAUUAGCUAGUUGGCGGGGUAAAGGCCCACCAAGGCGACGAUCCGUAGCUGGUCUGAGAGGAUGAUCAGCCACACUGGAACUGAGACACGGUCCAGACUCCUACGGGAGGCAGCAGUGGGGAAUAUUGGACAAUGGGCGUAAGCCUGAUCCGGCCAUACCGCGUGGGUGAAGAAGGCCUUCGGGUUGUAAAGCCCUUUUGUUGGGAAAGAAAAGCAGCAGGUUAAUACCCCGCUGUUCUGACGGUACCCAAAGAAUAAGCACCGGCUAACUUCGUG